rnacentral:rRNA from 1 species
GACGAACGCUGGCGGCGUGCUUAACACAUGCAAGUCGAACGAUGAACCCGGAGCUUGCUCUGGGGGAUUAGUGGCGAACGGGUGAGUAACACGUGAGUAACCUGCCCUGGACUCUGGGAUAAGCGUUGGAAACGACGUCUAAUACCGGAUAGGACCUUGGAUCGCAUGAUCUGGGGUGGAAAGUUUUUUCGGUCUGGGAUGGACUCGCGGCCUAUCAGCUUGUUGGUGAGGUAAUGGCUCACCAAGGCGUCGACGGGUAGCCGGCCUGAGAGGGUGACCGGCCACACUGGGACUGAGACACGGCCCAGACUCCUACGGGAGGCAGCAGUGGGGAAUAUUGCAAAAUGGGCGAAAGCCUGAUGCAGCAACGCCGCGUGCGGGAUGACGGCCGUCGGGUUGUAAACCGCUUUUAGUAGGGAAGAAGGGCUUCGGCUUGACGGUACCUGCAGAAAAAGGACCGGCUAACUACGUG